rnacentral:rRNA from 1 species
AUGUGUAGCAAGAAGGACAGGCAUCCACUCUGCCAUGUAUUAGUUGGAUCAUCCUUUGUGUGGUUGAAUUUGCUACGGUUUAAUUUGAUGUUGCUGGCAGUUGCUUGUUUGGGCUGUUUUUAUCGUCUUCUCCUGUCAGAUUAUGUGGUGCCGCCACGCAUUUUUGAGGUUAAGUUUGGCCAUCAAUUUAACCAACGAAAUAACUGUUAUGGUUUUGCAAUGCUUAUAGAGCAUCUACAUACAACCUGCAAAUAUACAAGUGCAUAUAAAAAGACAAGCAGUAGCAGCAGAAAACUACUCGAAAGAAACUUGCAGUAA